GACAGAGGUGCCGAGCGUUAGGCGGAAUCACUGGGCUUAAAGCGUGUGUAGGUGGAUGCCUAAGUACCUUGUGAAAUCCCACAGCUUAACUGUGGAACUGCUUGGUAUACUGGGUGUCUUGAGUCACUCAGGGGCGAGCGGAACAAAUGGUGGAGCGGUGAAAUGCGUAGAUAUCAUUUGGAACGCCAAUGGUGAAAAACAGCUCGCUGGGGGUGCACUGCACUGAGACACGAAAGCCAGGG
rnacentral:rRNA from 1 species